rnacentral:rRNA from 1 species
UACGGGGGGGGCAAGCGUUGUUCGGAAUUACUGGGCGUAAAGGGCCAGUAGGCGGCCAACUAAGUCCGACGUGAAAUCCCAAGGCUUAACCUUGGAACUGCGUCGGAUACUGGAUGGCUUGAAUUCGGGAGAGGGAUGCAGAAUUCCAGGUGUAGCGGUGAAAUGCGUAGAUAUCAGGAGGAACACCAAUGGCGAAGGCAGCUCGCUGGGACGUGACUGACGCUGAGACGCGAAAGCGUGGGGAGCAAACAGG